rnacentral:rRNA from 1 species
GCAGUCGAACGAUGAAGGGGAGCUUGCUUCCUGGAUUAGUGGCGAACGGGUGAGUAACACGUGAGCAACCUGCCCCUGACUCUGGGAUAAGCGCUGGAAACGGCGUCUAAUACUGGAUACGAGACGUGGCCGCAUGGUCAACGUUUGGAAAGAUUUUUCGGUUGGGGAUGGGCUCGCGGCCUAUCAGCUUGUUGGUGAGGUAAUGGCUCACCAAGGCGUCGACGGGUAGCCGGCCUGAGAGGGUGACCGGCCACACUGGGACUGAGACACGGCCCAGACUCCUACGGGAGGCAGCAGUGGGGAAUAUUGCACAAUGGGCGGAAGCCUGAUGCAGCAACGCCGCGUGAGGGAUGACGGCCUUCGGGUUGUAAACCUCUUUUAGCAGGGAAGAAGCGAAAGUGACGGUACCUGCAGAAAAAGCGCCGGCUAACUACGUGCCAGCAGCCGCGGUAAUACGUAGGGCGCAAGCGUUAUCCGGAAUUAUUGGGCGUAAAGAGCUCGUAGGCGGUUUGUCGCGUCUGCUGUGAAAUCUGGGGGCUCAACCCCCAGCCUGCAGUGGGUACGGGCAGACUAGAGUGCGGUAGGGGAGAUUGGAAUUCCUGGUGUAGCGGUGGAAUGCGCAGAUAUCAGGAGGAACACCGAUGGCGAAGGCAGAUCUCUGGGCCGUAACUGACGCUGAGGAGCGAAAGGGUGGGGAGCAAACAGGCUUAGAUACCCUGGUAGUCCACCCCGUAAACGUUGGGAACUAGUUGUGGGGUCCAUUCCACGGAUUCCGUGACGCAGCUAACGCAUUAAGUUCCCCGCCUGGGGAGUACGGCCGCAAGGCUAAAACUCAAAGGAAUUGACGGGGACCCGCACAAGCGGCGGAGCAUGCGGAUUAAUUCGAUGCAACGCGAAGAACCUUACCAAGGCUUGACAUAUACGAGAACGGGCCAGAAAUGGUCAACUCUUUGGACACUCGUAAACAGGUGGUGCAUGGUUGUCGUCAGCUCGUGUCGUGAGAUGUUGGGUUAAGUCCCGCAACGAGCGCAACCCUCGUUCUAUGUUGCCAGCACGUAAUGGUGGGAACUCAUGGGAUACUGCCGGGGUCAACUCGGAGGAAGGUGGGGAUGACGUCAAAUCAUCAUGCCCCUUAUGUCUUGGGCUUCACGCAUGCUACAAUGGCCGGUACAAAGGGCUGCAAUACCGCGAGGUGGAGCGAAUCCCAAAAAGCCGGUCCCAGUUCGGAUUGAGGUCUGCAACUCGACCUCAUGAAGUCGGAGUCGCUAGUAAUCGCAGAUCAGCAACGCUGCGGUGAAUACGUUCCCGGGUCUUGUACACACCGCCCGUCAAGUCAUGAAAGUCGGUAACACCUGAAGCCGGUGGCCUAACCCUGUGGAGGGAGCCGUCG